rnacentral:lncRNA from 1 species
CCACACAGACCCUCAAGGGGGAGCACAGAUUGUGAAGGGAAAAGAUGCCACUGGAUUUGCAGCUUUUGCCAUGGUUAUUAUUGCAGGAAGUGAUCUCCACAAUGGAAUCAUAGGAUUCAGUGAGGACUCCCAGGAUGGACUUGAACUGGGGGAAGGAGCUGAUAUGAGGAGACUGCAUCUUCUUGUCACAAGGCAGCCAAACAGGUGUGACUGAUAUGUGUGUGAGUGUAUACACUAAUUGGGAUU